rnacentral:tRNA from 1 species
GGCCCCAUGGUCAAGUGGUUAAGACACGGCCCUUUCAAGGCCGUAACAGGGGUUCGAAUCCCCUUGGGGUCA